CUUCUUUGUGGACUGGACCGACUGACGCUCCUCGUUGUUUGCUCGUCGACGGUCUGCUGCCAUUGAACCACUGCGCUUUGUUACAGUUCGUCCAUCAGGAUACCACCUGUGAUGAUGACAUUGAGGAAAUGCCAAGUUGGCCUUUCAUAUUUGCUAAAGGUGGUGGUUUCCUGACAGGGAAGUCCUUCACACCUUGCAUUGACAACGUUCCU